rnacentral:rRNA from 1 species
UACGUAGGGUGCGAGCGUUAAUCGGAUUUACUGGGCGUAAAGCGUGCGCAGGCGGCCCGUUAAGACAGGUGUGAAAUCCCCGGGCUCAACCUGGGAAUGGCAUUUUGAACUGGCAGGCUCGAGUUCUGAAGAGGGUGGUAGAAUUUCCAGUGUAGCGGUGAAAUGCGUAGAUAUGUGGAGGAACACCAGUGGCGAAGGCGACUCUCUGGUCUGUAACUGACGCUGAGGCUCGAAAGCGUGGGGAGCAAACAGG